rnacentral:misc_RNA from 1 species
GAGGACUAUUUACAAUUUCGAUAAAUUUCAAUGAAUAAAUAUCUCCAAAACUAGGUGGAAUCUCCUCAAGCUUACCACAUUCCUGCAGUUUUAGUUUCUCAAGAUUGGGGAAGGAUUCCUCUCCAACCUCCCACUUGGAAAGAGUCGCUAGACGCAAGUUCAAAAAUUUGAGAUUCUCAAAGGUGUCUUCCUCCCCCAUGUUCCAUUCUUCUCCCUGGAUGAUUGCAUCAUAAAGGGACAACUCUUCAAGGUUGGGCAGUCUCGCUAUUGUUGAUAGUGAAUCGGAUGUCAGAGGAAAGUCAUGCAAUGACAGUUGUUUCAAAUUUGAAGGAAAGUGAAAAUCCCACGGCCGAUUUGUCUUUACAGAGGACCCACUGUGGUUUGUGUUUGAACUUUUAAAACCUACAUUGAGUAUUUCUAGUUCAGUUAGGCAAUCCAAUUUCGGGAACCAAUGUUGCUCUGUUGAAUAAUCCCAUGACUCCUUGAGUUCAAACUGAAGCAUCUGA